rnacentral:rRNA from 1 species
GACGAACGCUGGCGGCGUGCUUAACACAUGCAAGUCGAACGGAAAGGCCUUGCUCUUGUGGGGUGCUCGUGUGUCGAAAGGGUGAGUAACACGUGAGUAUCCUGCCCUUUACUUUCGGAUAUCUUCCGGAAACUGGGGCUAAUACCGGGUAUGCGCUCCUUCUCCACGUUGGGGGUUGGAAAGUUUGGGCGGUUGGGGAUGGAUGCGCGGCUUAUCAGCUUGUUGGUGGGGUAGUGGCUUACCAAGGCUUUGACGGGUAGCCGGCCUGAGAGGGUGACCGGCCACACUGGGACUGAGAUACGGCCCAGACUCCUACGGGAGGCAGCAGUGGGGAAUAUUGCACAAUGGGCGGAAGCCUGAUGCAGCAACGCCGCGUGCGGGAUGACGGCCUUCGGGUUGUAAACCGCUUUCGCCUGUGACGAAGCGUGAGUGACGGUAAUGGGUAAAGAAGCACCGGCUAACUACGUG